ACCGGGUCCGGACACACUGAGGAUUGACAGGCAAUAUUAAUACUUUGCUUCGGCAUUGUAUUAUGUUAAAUAUGCUAGUCCUUUCAUGAUUAUGUGAUAGGUGGUGCAUGGCCGUUCUUAGUUCGUGGAGUGAUCUGUCUGCUUAAUUGCGUUUCACUAAGGGCCUAUAAAUUUACGUAUGUUGUAUCGCACUUUGACCCCUUUCUUUAAUUAGAAAGCGCGUGUCUUAGUUUCGCUUUGCUCAUACAAUUAGGUCCUGAAAGCAACGAACGUGACCGCAACCUCUUGUUGCCUUUAUACCAAACAUGUUUAUUCAUUUUUUAAUGUUCAUUCAUGAAAAAAGGCUUUUUAAACUAGAGGGACCGCUGUUACUWUCUUAAACCAGAGGAAGGUUGCGGCAAUAACAGGUCUGUGAUGCCCUUAGAUGUUCCGGGCUGCACACGUGCUACAAUSAUUAUUGCAGUGAGCAUCUCAUUUUUACACACCGCAUGCGCGAGUCCAUUUAUUCACCUUCGGGUGUUUUAAAUGUGUACCUCUGCGCGCGGUAAAGCCUGCUUCGAAAGUAAGUGGGUAAUCAAUUAGAAGUAAUGAUUUCCUUUUUUAGCACACAUAUAUACGGCGUCUAUGCCCGGGUUACCUUGUUGUAGCUUUUGUGUGUAUAGAUGUUUUUUCCGUAUGUGCGAUUGUCAAUUCAUGGUGGGGACAGACCAUUGUUAAUUGUUGGUCUCGGUCUUAACUAGGAAUGCCUUGUACGGGUCUUUGGUUCAACAAACCACCCGGAAUACGUCCCUGCCCUUUGUACACACCGCCCGUCGCUCUUACCGAUGGACUUCUCUGUGAGUUUGAGGGACUGGGAACGCAGGAAUUUAUUUCUGCACACCUAUGGAAACUUAAACGAACAGUGUGGUCUAAAGGAAAGAGAAGUCGUAC
rnacentral:rRNA from 1 species